rnacentral:rRNA from 1 species
GAACGCUGGCGGCGUGCUUAACACAUGCAAGUCGAGCGGAAAGGCCCUUCGGGGUACUCGAGCGGCGAACGGGUGAGUAACACGUGAGCAACCUGCCCUAGGCUUUGGGAUAACCCCGGGAAACCGGGGCUAAUACCGAAUAGGACCUGGCACCGCAUGGUGUUGGGUGGAAAGUUUUUCGGCCUGGGAUGGGCUCGCGGCCUAUCAGCUUGUUGGUGGGGUGAUGGCCUACCAAGGCGACGACGGGUAGCCGGCCUGAGAGGGCGACCGGCCACACUGGGACUGAGACACGGCCCAGACUCCUACGGGAGGCAGCAGUGGGGAAUAUUGCACAAUGGGCGGAAGCCUGAUGCAGCGACGCCGCGUGAGGGAUGACGGCCUUCGGGUUGUAAACCUCUUUCAGCAGGGACGAAGCGUAAGUGACGGUACCUGCAGAAGAAGCGCCGGCCAACUACGUGCCAGCAGCCGCGGUAAGACGUAGGGCGCGAGCGUUGUCCGGAUUUAUUGGGCGUAAAGAGCUCGUAGGCGGC